UCUUCUUCAUUCUCAUAAUUCUUUCUUAUCUCUUAUACUUAGAUUCCAGAUGCAUUUUCCCUGGCGUUCAUCAGCUGGAGAGAAAGUUUCACUCACAUCGCGUAUCCUACGCUCUGGUCUUCGCUAAGUUACUUUUUACUCUUCUCUCUGGAUUCGGAAGCAUGUCUGGGAUGGUGUUCGUUGUCGUGCUGUUUGUGAGAGAAAUAACCUCGAUGAAACACGAGUAUGCCACAGGUCUGGUAUGUUUCGUGUCGUGUAUAAUGGUCUGGUAUUUGUUAAGAAAUAGCGGACUAUAUUUACUGAACCUGUUUCACGGCUACGCUUCAUGUUCAAUACAAUGCAUCGCGCUGCUUGAAAUUCUGUCAGUUAUCUGUUUUUUUGGUAGAAAAAAAGCAUAAUUGGUUGGUUUUUGGAACAUUGAAAAAUCG